rnacentral:rRNA from 1 species
UACGUAGGGGGCAAGCGUUGUCCGGAAUUAUUGGGCGUAAAGAGCUCGUAGGCGGCCUGUUGCGUCCGCUGUGAAAGCCCGGGGCUUAACCCCGGGUCUGCAGUGGAUACGGGCAGGCUAGAGGUAGGUAGGGGAGAAUGGAAUUCCCGGUGUAGCGGUGAAAUGCGCAGAUAUCGGGAGGAACACCGGUGGCGAAGGCGGUUCUCUGGGCCUUACCUGACGCUGAGGAGCGAAAGCGUGGGGAGCGAACAGG